AGCGAACGCUGGCGGCAGGCUUAACACAUGCAAGUCGAGCGGGCACUCUCGGAUGUCAUCGGCUGACGGGUGGGGAACGCGGGGCAACGGGCGCUCUGAUUCGGAAUAACUCAGGGGAACUUGAGCUAAUACCGGAUACGCCCCUUUGGGGAAAGGCUUGCUGCCGGAGUAUGGGCCGGCGCUUGAUUAGUUGGUGGGUGAGGUAACGGCGCGCCAAGGCGGCGAGCAGUAGACGGUCUGAGAGGAUGAUCAGCCACACUGACACUGAGACACGGCGCAGAAUCUUACGCGAGGGAGCAGUGGGUGAUACUGGCCAACGGGCGGAAGCCUGAACCAGCCAUGCUGGGUGAGUGAUGAAGGCCUUAGGGUAGUAAAGCUCUUUUAUCCGCGACGAUAAUGACGGUACCGGAGGAAUAAGCCCCGGCUAACUUCGUG
rnacentral:rRNA from 1 species